GACGAACGCUGGCGGCGUGCUUAACACAUGCAAGUCGAGCGGUAAGGCCCUUUCGGGGGUACACGAGCGGCGAACGGGUGAGUAACACGUGGGUGACCUGCCCUUAGCUCUGGGAUAAGCCUGGGAAACUGGGUCUAAUACCGGAUAUGACUCCAUGACGCAUGUUGUGGGGUGGAAAGCCUUGUGCGGCUAGGGAUGGGCCCGCGGCCUAUCAGCUUGUUGGUGGGGUGAUGGCCUACCAAGGCGACGACGGGUAGCCGGCCUGAGAGGGCGACCGGCCACACUGGGACUGAGACACGGCCCAGACUCCUACGGGAGGGCAGCAGUGGGGAAUCUUGCGCAAUGGGCGAAAGCCUGACGCAGCGACGCCGCGUGGGGA
rnacentral:rRNA from 1 species